CUGCCAGACUGAACGUGAAAAGUCACAUGAAAUCUGUUUUUUACAAAUCCUUUCCAAGCCUCAUUUGUAGGUAGUUUGAAAUGUGACUUAAAUCACA